GCCGAAAAUGGUGGAACUAACCAUGUCUCGACACCUCCAUUCUUUCACUGUUGUUUCGUCAUUCUUCUAUUGGAUAGCCGGAAAUUCCAGACCUGUGUGCAUUUUCAAGGGUUGAAUCUGGCAUGGACAAUCUAUUGGUUGCAUAUAAUGUUCCAUUUAUGAUGCCUAGAAAUUCUAUACCCAAACUGGAGCUUUCAUCUCCACCCAAAUCAAAUAUCCUUCAUUCCAAUCCCAUACCACAUGAUGGCCUUCGUGCUGGCUCUGAAACAACUGCAGACUUUCCUUCCUCAUUGCACUCUCUUCUUAUGACGACAAUGGACCUCACUAAGCCUAAAAUUUAAGGUUAUCUAAGAGAGCAAAGAUCUCAUAUGGUAUUUUUUUAUUUCUCAUAUCGGUUACCUGUAUUAGCAUGUAGUGACAAUCUUAAUGGACAAUGAUAUUGAAGUGGAUCAAGAAGUUAGAACUAUUCAUGCUAAAUGGAGAGAUUUCUUGCUUAGUAAGGGGCUGGAGAACAUUUAUCUUAAUGAUUUAGUUCAAAAACUUCUUAGUCUGCUCAAAUCUCAAAGCUGAUUGUGUUUU